rnacentral:tRNA from 1 species
CGAGGUGUAGCGCAGCUGGUAGCGCGCAUGGUUCGGGACCAUGAGGCCCGGAGUUCGAACCUCCGCACUUCGACCA